AUGGAUAAACAUCCCAACCCCACUCCGCUAAAUUUUGAUGCGAAGGAAUUCGUCCCCUCCCCCUCCCGCUCCCCGCAGGAGGAGGAUGCGCCCUUGCCGGCGGGGAUUGUCUACAACCCCUACCGCGACGCCUACGGCCACCACCACGUCCAGCAUCAGCCCCCUCUGAAUCUGUCUGCCUAUCGGCGGGAUCGACACCCUUACGCCCAGGGGCAUCACCAACAGGGCCAGUACAACCCGUAUCACGGGCAGCAACAGCAGCAGCGACUCGGCCAGUCCUCAUACAGUCAGCAGCAGCAGCAACUUCGCCAGUUCUCAUACAGUCAGCAGCAACUUGGCCAGUUCUCAUACAGUCAGCAGCAGCAGCAAUUCGGCCAGCUUCCAUAUGAUCAGCAGCAGCUCUCAUCAAGUAGUCUGGCCCAGCAGCUGCAGCAGCAGCAGCUCUCGUCAACUGGUCAGGCCCAGCAGCUGCAGCAGCAGCAGCUCUCAACAGCCAGUAAGAUCCAGCAGCAGGGACAGGGUCAGAUCUCCUCCGCCAGUCAGUCCCAGCAGCAGCACGAGAGCCCAUCAGAUUCAGCAGCAGCUGCAGAUUCACAAUCAUCAUCCCAGGAGGUUCACCACCAGCAGCUGCUCGUAGGCUCAUCACCUGAGACAACAUCCAGUGUGCAGAAUGUACCACUUCUUUGGACAAUUGGUCUCAAUCUGCCUCCCCACAUUGAGGAAAGCAAUCUAUGCUUCAUGUUCAGGAAGAUACCAGAGCAUGUUCUGAAGGUGGGAAAAAGAGGCACAGUGCAAUUUAGCAACUUAGAAGAUGCACAGGCAGCACAAAAAAGGUGGACCAUUAGGGAAAAGAUUGUCCAAAGGAAUGCAGAUUACAAAAAGCACAUCAGAUCAGAGCCAUACGGCAGAAUGGUACCUGAGCUGGGUUCCAUAGCGACUAAGAGACAGAGAGAGGAAGAAGCUGGAAUAAAGUCGUCUCAAACGGAAGCAGUGAAGCGACAUGAACGAGAUGAUGCAGCGAGGAGUCUGCAAGACGACCCUAUAAAUGGUGCACGGUUGAGGACUUCUCAAAAGAAAAACCUGAGAAUGAGCUUGUGA
rnacentral:rRNA from 1 species